CCUACGGGUGGCAGCAGUGGGGAAUAUUGGGCAAUGGGCGCAAGCCUGACCCAGCAACGCCGCGUGAAGGAAGAAGGCCCUCGGGUUGUAAACUUCUUUUAACAGGGACGAAGAAAGUGACGGUACCUGUAGAAGAAGCCACGGCCAACUAGGCGCCAGCAGCCGCGGUAAGACGAAGGUGGGAAGCGUUAUUCGGACUUACUGGGUGUAAAGGGGGUGUAGGCGGUGAAGGAAGGCAGUGGUGAAAUGCCAGGGCUCAACCCUGGAACUGCGUUUAUGAUUGUUCAUCGUGAGUGAUGGAGAGGAAAGCGGAAUACCGUGUGUAGCGGUGAAAUGCGUAGAUAUUGGGAGGAACACCGGUGGCGAAGGCGGCCAGCUGGACAUUAACUGACGCUGAGGCGCGAAAGCAUGGGGAGCAAACAGGAUUAGAUACCCUAGUAGUC
rnacentral:rRNA from 1 species